CUGCCUUCAUCAUUACAUUUCAGUUUUUGUUUGGAAGUGUACGAGUACACUUGAAAUUUGUAAGUUACAAAUUUUUAGUUUUUUUUUAAAUUUCUUUUUUUGGCCAAGCUUUGAGAUGUUCCGAUUCGUGAAUUUGCUUUGCCAUUGUCUGACUGUCCUGGGCCCUGUCGACCUUCAGCAGCAUAAUUAUUCAGGUCGCUUUGGAAAAUGCUCUAAAGAGGCAGCUGAUCGGCGAGCGAAGGUCGUCUCGUCCAGACUUCGCCUUGUGUCCAGCUCCGUGAAGCAUGAAGGAUUGUUCAGAAGUUUCAAUUGUGAUGGGAAUCGUGGUAGUCAGCGAACUCUUACGCAAACUGCAGAGUGAUAAAUUACGUGGGAGAAGCUCUUCUUCUCCUGCAUGUGAUUUUGAUUAUUGAAUUUUGAAAUUUCGCCUUAUGCCCAGCCUUUAUUCGAUCUUGGCGUAUUUACGAUUACCGGUGACCUGCGGGGCCUGGCAGUUUUUGAAUUAUUCCAAAACCAGUUGAAGAAUUUCAAAGAAUCUGCGGAGCGAAAGCGGAUGUCUCGGACCACAGAAGGCCACCAUAGUUCGGCAUCGAUUGUGCUAGAUAUUUGCUCGGGAUGGAAAAAGAGAGCUGGCUGAAAGCAUCGUCUCUGGUGUCAUGUGAAGUCAUCAUCAAGGGUGUGGAUGCCAGUUGUGCUGCCGGUGUUGUGGCAUAUAAAAAGUUUGAAUUACAUAAAUGCAAAGUAA